GAUGAACGCUAGCGGCAGGCCUAACACAUGCAAGUCGAGGGGUAGAGGAAGCUUGCUUCCUUGAGACCGGCGCGCGGGUGCGUAACGCGUAUGCAAUCUACCUUGUACAGGGGAAUAGCCCAGAGAAAUUUGGAUUAAUGCCCCAUAGUAUAUAACCUUCGCAUGUUGGUUAUAUUAAAGUUCCAACGGUACAAGAUGAGCAUGCGUCCCAUUAGUUAGUUGGUAAGGUAACGGCUUACCAAGACGAUGAUGGGUAGGGGUCCUGAGAGGGAGAUCCCCCACACUGGUACUGAGACACGGACCAGACUCCUACGGGAGGCAGCAGUGAGGAAUAUUGGUCAAUGGGCGCAAGCCUGAACCAGCCAUGCCGCGUGCAGGAAGACGGUCCUAUGGAUUGUAAACUGCUUUUAUACAGGAAGAAACCCUCCCACGUGUGGGAGAUUGACGGUACUGUAGGAAUAAGGAUCGGCUAACUCCGUGCCAGCCGCCGCGGUAAAAC
rnacentral:rRNA from 1 species